GGAGCAACUCAUAAACCAACAAUAUCUGAAUUUCGACUAAUCAUUCCAAAUGAUUUGGGAAAGCAGACAUGCGACUCGAAUGAUUGUGGAAUAUGGGUGAUAAAAUGGAUGGAGCAAAUAAGAGGAGAUGUGAAUAAGAUUUGUGUUGACGGUGGUACAAGACUAAGGAUUGCAUUAGAUUUGACAAUGGAUUCUUACAACAAAUUAAAUGGUUUCAUUUUGGAGAGGGCGUGGGAAAAAUUUAAGAAGUUGGACAAUGCAUAAGAGAC